ACUCUGUGAGUGACCUCGACUUGGUACUCUGACUUAUCCCAGACUGCACAAUCUUAUUGCCCAUUGAAAUUAAAGUACAUUCAGCAAACUCUAUAUGGAUUUUAAAAGAAUAUAUUCUACUUUCUAUUCUAAAAUCAGUCAAUACAAUGUCUGGUUACAAAAAAUUGAAAUGCAUCACAUGUAAGGCAGCUUGAAGGAUUCAUUUGCACAUUCAGGUUUAAAAAAAUAGUCACGAGGAACACUGGUUAAUUACCACAUGCUAUAGUGUAGACCAGUGGUUUCGAAACUUUUCAAGUUGCGCAUAUUUUUUAUUAGCUUCACGCCCUCUCAAAAUAUUGUCUAUGCCUCCCCUUGUGGAGCGCACAAGCCCCCCCCCACACGGUUGAGAACCAUUGAUGUAGACAUUUUCAAACUUGUGAAAUAAUGGUUUCUUUCUACCUUCCCUCAGGGAUUGGCCAGUUCUAUUUGUUAAGGUGCUUUUAUGCCAAGCAAGGCCAUUUCCAAACCACCAAUUGCCAUUUUUCUAAGGAACAGAACCUAAAACAUUGUAAACUAAAUUAAUUACAUCCUGAGUGUGGGGUGGUGAACACUGAAGGUGCUUUUAUGCCAAGCAAGGCCAUUUCCAAACCACCAAUUGCCAUUUUUCUAAGGAACAGAACCUAAAACAUUGUAAACUAAAUUAAUUACACCCUGAGUGUGGGGUGGUGAACACUGGGCUUGCACCACUAUAAACUCGCUAACACACACAGCAAAUAUGGCCAAAUAAAAAACAGUUGAAUUCAUAAAAAUCAAAAAUAUUAGGCAGCUCAGGCAAUUAUUUGGGUACUCCCGAAGUAUGUGGACCAAGAUGGCGGACAUCGUAACGUGAUAUGUGUACCAGGUUAGGGUUAGGCCAUAAUAUUUAUUCCAAUUUUCCUUAUUCUAGUUAUAUUAUGAGUUCAGAGACUAGCCAGAUGUCUCCCCUAGUAUUUGUACCUGAAAUUAUGGCCUAACCCUAACUUGGUACACAUACUGCGUUUCGGUAUCUGCCAUCUUGGUUCAAAUACUCCAAGAAAACCAUUAUUUGCACAUUUAAAUUGAAAAAGGGCAGCAGGAACAUAGUGUCAAUGUAAUGAUAAGAGCAUGGCUGGAAUGGUUGUAUGAUAUACACAAUAUCGUCAGGAAUGCUGAGUUAAACUUAUGAAAAUAAAGUUAUGAGAAAAGUCGCAGUUACGAAUAAAAUUACUGGCACAUGCUGGUGACACGAGCUGUUAGCUUUAGAUUGACCGCCCUCAGCUUGAGUGUUUUGAAUUGGUCAGGCAAGUACGGUAUUUCCAAAUAAAUGGUAGCUUCAUAAAUUGGUGUCUGGCUGUGCUGCUAUCUUAUUCGGAACAAAGCCAGGAAUUUGGUAUCGUACAAAAAAAAUAGUACAAGAUUUAAAAUUGGCCCAAAGUGACAGAGCAUGUCAGAAAUCAAAUUUUCAAAGGAAUGAGAUAAAGUAUGAUUAUACAGAACAAGGCACAAUAUAGAAUGCUUUAUCAUUAAAAUUUUUGGCAGAAAAAUAAAAGCAACAACUAAAUAUAUAUUAUAUAUUCUGAAUAGCAUUUACACAUAAAAGCUUCUAGCACACAUACAAUUAGUUAGAAUAAGAAACUUUUCCCACGAAACGGCUACAAAUGGACAAAUAAGAAGUAAACAAGAAGAAAGUCAAGUACACGAUAUUCUAGUACCGUUUAAACAUACAAUUUUGGCUUCUUUUUUAACCAACUCUAUUUCCUUUGAACUCUAUCAGAGAGUAGCUUCUAGAGUAGGUAUUGGCAUCGGUUAUUCUGCUCAAUUUUUUUUAAGAGAUUUGCUAAAGCAUACUCAUGGAGACUCUUAAUUUUUUUUUUCAAAAAUUUGGGUAGCUUGAAUAAAAAGGUUGGAACCACUGUCACAGGACAUGGAAACAAGACCGGUCAAUAUUAUGCUGAUAGCGAAACUGGGUACAGAAAUAGAUAUGCUUCUUAUAAACAGGCCGAAACUGAAAACAAAUUAAAUGCUAUAAGCAAAACUAAUAUUCAAAUAGUUGGAUUUGGUACAGUGGCUCAUUCACUUUACCAGGGAAAACAAAUCCGUAUUACUCAAGGUAAACUAAACAUUUCUAUUAAAUAUCAAACUAGAUGGUGCCUAUAGUGUAUGCUUCGUAUAAACAGGCCGAAUCAAAAACAAAUUAAAUGCACAGAACUAAAAUUGGAAUAGUUGGCUUCAGAAAAGAGCCUCAUUAACUUGCCAAAUAAAACAAAUCCGAACUAUCUAAAAUAAAUUUUAAAACCAGUAAUUUCUAUUAAAUAUCAAAGCAGAUAAUACCUAUAGCACCGCCGUGUAUGCUUCUUAUAAACAGUCAGUAACUCAAAAGUUGGAA